rnacentral:rRNA from 1 species
UACGUAGGGUGCGAGCGUUGUCCGGAUUUAUUGGGCGUAAAGAGCUCGUAGGCGGUUUGUCGCGUCGGCCGUGAAAUCUCCACGCUUAACGUGGAGCGUGCGGUCGAUACGGGCAGACUUGAGUUCGGUAGGGGAGACUGGAAUUCCUGGUGUAGCGGUGAAAUGCGCAGAUAUCUGGAGGAACACCAAUGGCGAAGGCAGAUCUCUGGGCCGUAACUGACGCUGAGGAGCGAAAGCAUGGGGAGCGAACAGG